rnacentral:rRNA from 1 species
UACAGAGGGUGCUAGCGUUGUUCGGAAUGACUGGGCGUAAAGAGCUCGUAGGCGGUUCGGUAAGUCGGGUGUGAAAACUCUGGGCUCAACCCAGAGCCGCCACCCGAUACUGCUGUGACUUGAGUUCGGUAGGGGAGCGGGGAAUUCCUGGUGUAGCGGUGAAAUGCGCAGAUAUCAGGAGGAACACCAGUGGCGAAGGCGCCGCUCUGGGCCGAGACUGACGCUGGGGAGCGAAAGCGUGGGUAGCAAACAGG